rnacentral:rRNA from 1 species
GAUCCUGGCUCAGGACGAACGCUGGCGGCGUGCCUAACACAUGCAAGUCGAGCGGGGACAAGGACUUCGGUUCUUGUUCUAGCGGCGGACGGGUGAGUAACGCGUGAGCAAUCUGUCCCUCACAGGGGGAUAACACUUGGAAACAGGUGCUAAUACCGCAUAAGACCACGGAGUCGCAUGACAUUGGGGUCAAAGGAGCAAUCCGGUGAGGGGUGAGCUCGCGUCCCAUUAGAUAGUUGGCGGGG